GAAGUUUUGUCACAACCACCCGGGAAGACAACACGGAGACAACACGUACAUGCUGGUUUGAUUCAUAUGUUCUUCCUUGAUUGGCCUGUGUGGUUCAUCAUGAUGAGGAAAUCGAUCCUGAAAGUGAUGUGAAGUUUUGUCACAACCACCCGGGAAGACAACACGGAGACAACACGGAGACACAUGUACAUGCUGGUUUGAUUCAUAUGAUGGAACCGCAUACACACCACGCGUCAACGAAGACAACCGCCAUCUCGAAGGAGGAGGAAAAUCGUGAUGGAAUCUUCGCUCACAGCUGAACAACAUUUGAUCAGUUCUUCAGGCAAGACCUACUCUUUGUAAAACUGCAAGCCAAACACUAGUUACACUUGUCAACGGUUCUGCCACAAAUGAUUACAAAUCGUUUUACAAGUUAAUACGAUGCGACAGGCUUUUAAGCGUUGCUUUUAGACAAGACAAGAUUUUAUUCGAACAGAAAAAGUUGUUAAGCAUAAAAAUACAUGGCAGAGCAGAAAAAUGACAAGUGCAACUAGAUACUAGUGAGGUUUCGCAUCCCUAAGAUAUAAAUCUACGUUUACGUUUUGAAAUUUUAAAAUCAUAACGAAUUUUAGCUCUUCUGGUUAAAAGGAACCGAUUUCACAAUGUUGCGAAGGGCGCGCAAAACCCUCGGUGCAGAAAACUGCCCAACGUGUAUGUGCGUCACACAGGCGUUUUGGAAACGUAAACGUGAUUGCGAAACCUCCCUAUUUUCCAAUACAUGACACCUGACAAGAACCUGGAGAGGGUUAAACUUAUAUUGAGGUUUAUUGGGGGGGGGGGGGGGAUGAAAUUAUUUGGAAAAUGUUUAAUUAGUUAUACUUUUACUGAUACCUUUUCAUGAAGCUUUUUUCCUCAAUUGCUGCAAGAAAAAAUCCUUUAAAAAGGCAUAGUUUCUUGGCUUCUGGUAUCUUUCGCAAUAACACCUGUUUUGCUGUUAAAAGUUUUAAAGCUUUUCGUAUUAAAAAAGUGAAAAAAAGUCCUUGAGGCUGACGGGAUUCGAACCCGAGACCUCUGGCUGUUAAGUCACACGCUCUAACCACUACUCCACCAAGCCACACUCUCAGUAGGGCUGCGAAAGAGCGAGUCGCUGAAGUUUAGGCCAGACGGCUCAUUGAAGAUUUAUGGUGAAUUGGUUGAAUAGGCAGGUUACGAGAUCCUUUGUCAAAUAAGGUGUGUCCAUUUCUUCUGCAACAACACACAAUUUGUAGAUUUAAUUGAAUGAGACGUAGGCCUAUUACACAGCAAUACAUUGUACUGAAUUAGAUUUAGAUGGAUUGAACUGAUUCAAACUAUGUAAGAAAUACUUUAAUCUCACUUCUAUAAGACCAUCUUAUCGAAAGUUAUUAUCAAUUUUUCAGUACCGGAUACCGGGUGUUCGGUAUUGCUGAUUCAUG